UGGCGGACGGGUGAGUAAUGUCUGGGAAACUGCCCGAUGGAGGGGGAUAACUACUGGAAACGGUAGCUAUACCGCAUAACGUCGCAAGACCAAAGAGGGGGACCUUCGGGCCUCUUGCCAUCGGAUGUGCCCAGAUGGGAUUAGCUAGUAGGUGGGGUAACGGCUCACCUAGGCGACGAUCCCUAGCUGGUCUGAGAGGAUGACAGCCACACUGGAACUGAGACACGGUCCAG
rnacentral:rRNA from 1 species